UACGGGGGGAGCAAGCGUUGUUCGGAUUUACUGGGCGUAAAGGGCGCGUAGGCGGCCACCGCAAGUCGACUGUGAAAUCUCCGGGCUUAACCCGGAAAGGUCAGCCGAUACUGCGGGGCUAGAGUGCAGAAGGGGCAACUGGAAUUCUCGGUGUAGCGGUGAAAUGCGUAGGAUAUCGAGAGGAACACCUGCGGCGAAGGCGG
rnacentral:rRNA from 1 species